UUGUUGUUCCGUUGGCUGGCCUUGUCUUCACGAGAGGUGUCAUCACGAUCCGGUUCAGGAAUUGGGUUGUGACAAGUUGGUAUCAGAGCCUAGGUUGCAUAGGUCUCACGAGUCAUAAUCAGGUUUAGUAGAGUCCCAUGGAUCGGUACAGAGACGUCUAUUUUUAUACUCGAGAGGCUGCAGGACCUUUAGGAAAAACUUCAUAUUCUUGAAAUUCUAGUCGUGCGACUUUGUUGAUCCGAGAACUAAACUU
rnacentral:lncRNA from 1 species